AUUAAACGCUGGCGGCAUGCCUUACACAUGCAAGUCGAACGGCAGCACGGGAGCUUGCUCCUGGUGGCGAGUGGCGGACGGGUGAGUAAUACAUCGGAACGUGCCCUGGAGUGGGGGAUAACGCAGCGAAAGCUACGCUAAUACCGCAUAUUCUGUGAGCAGGAAAGCAGGGGAUCGCAAGACCUUGCGCUCUAGGAGCGGCCGAUGUCGGAUUAGCUAGUUGGUGGGGUAAAGGCCCACCAAGGCGACGAUCCGUAGCGGGUCUGAGAGGAUGAUCCGCCACACUGGGACUGAGACACGGCCCAGACUCCUACGGGAGGCAGCAGUGGGGAAUUUUGGACAAUGGGCGCAAGCCUGAUCCAGCCAUGCCGCGUGAGUGAAGAAGGCCUGGUGUAAGCUCUUCGCGGGAGAAAGUUGCUUGGUUAAGUACCCUGAGUAGAUGACGGUACCCGGAGAAGAAGC
rnacentral:rRNA from 1 species